AGUGGCGAACGGGUGAGUAACACGUGGGUGAUCUGCCCUGCACUUCGGGAUAAGCCUGGGAAACUGGGUCUAAUACCGGAUAGGACCUCGGGAUGCAUGUUCCGGGGUGGAAAGGUUUUCCGGUGCAGGAUGGGCCCGCGGCCUAUCAGCUUGUUGGUGGGGUAACGGCCCACCAAGGCGACGACGGGUAGCCGGCCUGAGAGGGCGACCGGCCACACUGGGACUGAGACACGGCCCAGACUCCUACGGGAGGCAGCAGUGGGGAAUAUUGCACAAUGGGCGCAAGCCUGAUGCAGCGACGCCGCGUGAGGGAUGACGGCCUUCGGGUUGUAAACCUCUUUCAGUACCGACGAAGCGCAAGUGACGGUAGGUACAGAAGAAGCACCGGCCAACUACGUGCCAGCAGCCGCGGUAAUACGUAGGGUGCGAGCGUUGUCCGGAAUUACUGGGCGUAAAGAGCUCGUAGGCGGUUUGUCGCGUCGUCUGUGAAAACCCGCAGCUCAACUGCGGGCUUGCAGGCGAUACGGGCAGACUUGAGUACUGCAGGGGAGACUGGAAUUCCUGGUGUAGCGGUGAAAUGCGCAGAUAUCAGGAGGAACACCGGUGGCGAAGGCGGGUCUCUGGGCAGUAACUGACGCUG
rnacentral:rRNA from 1 species